GGUCGUGUCUCCAUCAUCCUAACAUGGGCCAUCACCUCGCUUCGGCCGCCUCCACCACCACAUCUCCCAUCCGAGGAGCCUCCUGGUCCUGGCUCGCGGGCGGCCUUUCCUGAGCAGCGCCUGAGGACAUGGCCCCGGCUGUCCGGGUACCUUCCUCCUGCACCUGCGACUCCUCACACAGCCGGCCUCUGCUGCAAAGAUAAUACCUUGUUCUUCCGGUCGUUCCCACCUGGGAACGUCCCAGUCAACCAACCGGAAUACGUGUUCACAUCGUGUCAGCAAGGGUUUGCCAUAUUUCAGGGACUCCUGACGGAGGGCAUCCUGCCUUAUUUCUGUCACAUCCUUGAAGUUCCAUGCUAUGCUCUGUAGUCGUAUUUCAAUCUCCUUCACGGCACUUUAAGAUGUACCUCUCCUUCAAGCCUAACUUGCAGUCACAUGCACCCCUUUCCCGCAUGAGCCAUCCAGGCUCACUUCAGUCACCUUUACAGUCCCCCAGCAUAGGCCAUCUGGCCUCUCUUUUAAUGACCUCUCCGGCCUCCCACAGGACUAUCACGCCUCCUUUCAGUCCCCACUGCCAUCCUGAGCAUAGACCAUCUGGUGCGCUCAGCGACAUGCACGAUGUCCAAACAUCGGUCAUCCCGCCCUUCAUUCCUUCAUCUCUGC
rnacentral:lncRNA from 1 species